UGGGAAUGCAGCCCAAAGCGGGUGGUAAACUCCAUCCAAGGCUAAAUACUAGCACGAGUCCGAUAGCGAAGAAGUACCGCGAGGGAAAGUUGAAAAGAACUUUGAAGAGAGAGUUCAAGAGUACGUGAAACCGCUGAGAGGCAAACUGGUGGAGCUGAAAUGGUCUUGAGGAAUUCAGCCCUUCCUGCUAGAGUUGACGUCGGUUGUGAGAUCUCACGACUCCGCUGGCGGCAUCUUCGUGAAGGAUAGGUGCACUUUCUUCUUGAUCGGACCACGACCAGCGACUUGCUUGCCUGACAUGGGUCGGAAGGUAGCGUUGGCUUCGGCGAACGUGUUAUAGCCGCCUAUUCGGUAGUUGAGCGAGGCGUUGGAUGCGAUGAGUUGGCGCUUGCCCUCUGGGCUCGUACGUUGCCUCUUUCAGGCGUGUCGCCGAUUUCACUGCCUUUGGCAGGGGUGUCGAAGAUGUGUCGGUUAGAAUGGUGGCCUCUGCGAUUGGCGUCGAAAGUCUGUGGUUGUGAAGUAGGCAGUCCACCUGACCCGUCUUGAAACACGGACCAAGGAGUCUAACAUGUGCGCGAGUCAUUGGGCUCUACGAAACCUAAAGGCGAAGUGAAAGUAAAGAUCCAUUUCCAUGGAUUGAGGUGGGAUCCUGAGUCACGUGCUCGGGCGCACUACCGGCCCGUUCGACAUGUCUUCAUGCGGGCGGAGCAAGAGCGUACACGUUGGGACCCGAAAGAUGGUGAACUA
rnacentral:rRNA from 1 species